AACAGAAAACGUGAACACAAAAAUGUCUUCACUCCAUCUUUUCUCUAUGAAUUGAACAUAAGGCUCUUGGUGACACGACUCUUAGAUUUUCACAGUCAAUAGCGAUGGUUGGAGAAAAAUCUUGAAUUAUUGCAGGAAAUCCGCAAGACCCUUCUCUCCCAUGUUCUCUUUGAGUGAAAUCAGCUAAGUAGAGUCCAAUUUGUGCGUCUCUCCAAGGGGAACGUGUCAAAUGAAGAAAGACAACCUUUCGUCAUCACUACUCAACACUCUUUGUUCAUCAAGCUUGGUCAUUUGGUUGUAUUCCUCUUGUCAAUUUCUACUUAUAUAGAUUCUCAGAGUGUUCUAUUCAUCAAGGUAAAUUUCUACUUAUGAACAUAUAUUAAUAAAUUUUAUUAUUUGUUA